rnacentral:rRNA from 1 species
UACGGAGGGUGCGAGCGUUAUCCGGAUUCACUGGGUUUAAAGGGUGCGUAGGUGGGAAUGUAAGUCAGUGGUGAAAUCUCCAAGCUUAACUUGGAAACUGCCGUUGAUACUAUCUGUCUUGAAUACCGUGGAGGUGAGCGGAAUAUGUCAUGUAGCGGUGAAAUGCUUAGGUAUGACAUAGAACACCAAUUGCGAAGGCAGCUCGCUACACGAAUAUUGACUCUGAGGCACGAAAGCGUGGGGAUCAAACAGG